rnacentral:rRNA from 1 species
CCCCAAGUUAGACAGGAUCACCCAUUGAGUUUAAACAUAUCAAUAAGUGGAGAAAAAGAAACUUACCAGGAUCCCCUUAGUAAUGGUGAUGAAAUCGAGAAUAGCCCAACUUGAGAAUCGAAUACCCCUGGCAUCCAAAUUGUAGUAUGGAGAAGCAUCCUUAGUGGCAGAUUAGGCUCAAGUCCCUUGGAAAAAGGUGUCAGAAUAGGUGAGAGCCUUGUUGUGCCUAGACCCUAUCACACCAUGAGGCAUGGUUUGCGAGUCAGGUUGUUUAGGAAUGUAGCCUCAAUCAGGCGAUAAAUUUUAUCCAAGGCUGAAUACAAGCGAGCGACCAAUAAUGAACAAGUAUCAUAAGGAAAAGGACUUUGAAAAGAAAGUCAAAGAGUUCUUGAAUUUGUUAAUCGAGAAGUGGAUGGGGGUUGAUAAUGUGCCAUGGUCAGAUGUGGAAUGAUAAGAGCUGAUCCAUCAAUCAACUUGGGGCGAAAACCAACAUGGGUUCCGGUGGCAGCCCAAGCUUAGGCUUUUGAUAUGCCCAUGGAGACAUGUCACCAUGAUCAUGGAACGUAGCACAUGUCAUCUCGAUAUGGCUCAGCAUUGACAUGCUUUCGACACUGACGGCUCAUGACAUCGACCUACAAGCUCCUCAUCUGGCCCAUCUUUAAACAAAAACCAAGGAGUCUAACAUGUGUGUGAGUCAAUGGGCUAGAAAACCCAUAAGGCAUAAGGAAGCUAAUUAGUAGAAUCCUUUAUGGGUGCAUCACUGACUGACCUUGAUCUUUUAAGAAGGUUUCAAGUGCGAGCAUGCCUCUCGGGACCCAAAAGAUGGUGAACUAUGCCUAAGAGGGGUGAAGCCAGAGGAAACUCUAGUGGAGGCCUACAGUGACACUGACAUGCAAAUCAUUCAUCUAACUUGGAUAUAGGGUCAAAAGACUAAUCGAACCAUCUAGUAACUAGUUCCUUCCGAAGUUUCCCUUAGGAUAGCUAGAGCCCGUAACGAGUUUUAUCGGGUAAAGCUAGUGAUUAGAGGCAUUGGGGGCAUAAUGCCCUCAACCUAUUCUCAAACUUUAAAUAGGUAGGAUGGUAUGGCUGCUUUGUUAAGCCAUGCCAUAAAAUUGAGAGCUCCAAAUGGGCCAUUUUUGGUAAGGAAAACUAACGAUAUGAGAUGAAGAAGAAGUCGGGUUCUAGUGCCUAAGUACAUGCUAACCUAGAACCCAAAAAGCAUGUUGGUCGAUUACGACAGUAAGACGGUGGUUAUGGAAGUUAAAAUCCAUUAAAGAGUGUGUAACAACUCACUUGUCGAAUCAACUAGCCCUAAAAAUGAAUGGCACUUAAGCGCGUGACCUAUACCUGAUUAUCGGGCAAGGGCCAAGCCCCAAUGAGUAGAAGGGCACAAUGGUCAACAUAAAACCUAGGACGCAAACCCAAGUGGAGUGACCAUCGGUGCAAAUCUUGGUGGUGGUAGCAAAUAUUCAAAUAAGAACUUUGAAGGCCAAAGAGGGGAAAGGGUCAAUGUGAAUGACACUUGCACAUGGGUUAGUUGAUCCUAAGAGAUGUGGGAAGCCCAUCCAAAAGCAUGUCUAGCACAUGCUUCGAAAAGGAAUUAGGUUAAAAUUCUUAAAUUGAGAUACGAUGGUUGAUGGCAACAUUAAGGAGUCUAGAGAUAUCAGCGGGGGCCUUAAGAAAGGUUAUCUUUUUUGUUUAGUGGCCUACCCACCAUAGAAAUAGCUAAGCCAAAGGUAAGGUCCAAUGGCCAAAAAAGCAUCGCACUCAUUUAGUGUUCGGUGUGCCCCCGACAACCCUUGAAAAUCUAAAGACCGAGUGUCAUCUGCAUCCGGUCAUACUCAUAACUACAUUAGGUUUCCAAGGUGAACAGCCUUUGGUCGAUGGAACAAUAUAGGAAAGGGAAGUUGGCAAAAUGGAUUCGUAACCUUAGGAAAAGGAUUGGCUUUAAAGGCUAGGCAUAGGGCUCCCAAUCCCAAACCCAUCAACUACCGAUGCACUACUUGAGCUACUCUUGUGGUGAGAGUGGGUCAUUAUAUACCGGCUAGGGAUAGACUAGGAAUGGCUCCCUGGGGGCCUUCCCCAAGUGAUGAACAGUCAACUUAAAACUGGUACAAACAAGGGGAAUCUGACUGUUCAAUUAAAACAAAGUAUUGUGAUAGUCCUUGCAGAUGCUCAUGCAAUGUGAUUUCUGCCUAGUGCUCUAAAUGUCAAAGUGAAGAAAUUCAACCAAGCGCAGGUAAACGGUUGGGGUAACUAUGACUCUCUUAAGUAGCCAAAUGCCUCAUCAUCUAAUUAGUGAUGCACAUGAAUGAAUUAAUGAGAUUCCCACUAUCCUUGUCCACUAUCCAGCGAAACCAUAACCAAGGGAACUGGCUUGGUAAAAUCAACAAGGAAAAAAGACCCUGUUGAGCUUGACUCUAGUCCGACUUUGUGAAAUGACUUGAGAGGUGUAGGAUAAGUGGGAGCCCUUGGGUGAAACUGAAAUACCACUACUUUUAAUGUUAUUUUACUUAUUCCAUGAAUCGAAGGCCAGGCACAACCCUAUCUUUUGGACCUAAGGUCGACCUCAGUUGAUCAAUUUGGGAGGAAAACAUUAUCAGGUGGGGAGUUUGGUUGGGGUGGCACAUCUGUUAAAAGAUAAUAUAGGUGUCCUAAGAUAAGCUCAACGAGAAUAGAAAAUCUCAUGUGGAACAAAAGGGUAAAAGCUUGUUUGAUUCUAAUUUCUAGUAUGAAUACGAAUCGCGAAAGUGUGGCCUAUCAAUCCUUUAGACCUUCAAAUUUUGAAGCUAGAGGUGUUAGAAAAGUUACCACAAGGAUAACUAGCUUGUGGUAGCCAAGCGUUCAUAGAAAUGUUGCUUUUUGAUCCUUCGAUGUUGGCUCUUCCUAUCAUUAUAAAGCAGAAUUCACCAAGUGUUGGAUUGCUCACCCACUAAUAGGGAAUGUAAGCUGGGUUUAGAACAUCAUGAGACAGGUUAGUUUUACCUUACUGAUGGUAACAUCACAAAAGUAAUUCAACCUAGUACGAGAAGAACCAUUGAUUCACACAAUUGGUCAUCGUGCUUGGUUGAAAAGCCAGUGGCAUAAAGCUAUCAUGCGCUGGAUUAUGACUAAAUGCCUCUAAGUUAGAAUCUAGGCUAGUAGCAACACACACGUCCAUCACCCGAUUACCAACCCAUAGUAGGGGCCUAUUACCCCUAAGGGCAUGUGUCGUAGGUGUAGCCCCCAUAAUGUACAAGCCAUACGAGCCUCCCUG